AGAAUAUUAAUUCUGUCAUGUAGCUAAUAAAAAGAAGACUGAAGCCUGUCUAACUGGCAGGGGCCCACCACCACCUCCCCUCACCCCAUCUGAGGAGCUGGCUCUGUCCCUUAAUAAAGGGCGACCAGUGGAUGCUGGCAUUCCAGGGGACAGUUCAUCACACACACCAUGCACCACAAGUGAUGGUGAAAAAAUGGUGAAAUAUACUGAUGGACGUAUUGUAUUAUUGGACCCUCCAGAAAGAACACAGUCUGUCACAGUUGUAAUUGACUUGUUGAGCUGUAUAAGGUCCAUCUCCAAAAACAAAUAAGAAAAAGUGACAUGGAGAGGGACCUUAUACAGUUUCAAAUGGAAGAGAAAAGGUUUCUCAUUAAAAAAGCAGCACUUGAAAUUGAAUUACUGGAGCAUCGCCUUAAGGAAAUAAAGAAAUACACUGCCUGGCAGACCAGUGCAAAAAAAUUAAUAAGUGAUUUUGACAGAUCCUG